rnacentral:tRNA from 1 species
UGGGCUCGUAGCUCAGUUGGGAGAGCGUUCGGUUCGCAUCCGAAAGGUCGAGGGUUCGACUCCCUUCGAGUCCAU